rnacentral:snoRNA from 1 species
UCACUGUGAUGAACAACAUUAUUCAGUUCUGCUACCGAAGUACCAUGAGCGAUAAAGUAAUCUUACCAAAAACUCUUCUGACAC